CUUACACAGUCCUUCCCUCAGCCUCUGCCUGAAACGCUUUCACCAGACUCAGCAACAAGCAACAGGAUGAGGAUUGAAGCCCUAGUUCAGCUGAGUUAAAGCCACCGCAACCCGGGCAGCAUUCAUACGCUCAGCACUCAUCUAGACGUUGCCUAACCUUACGUACGCAGGCAUUAGGCACUGUGUUAACAGAAGAGGAGAGAGACGCAAGUAAGACCGGAACUUGGUCCUCAAACUGCUUAGGAUCUAGGGGGCACACCAUCAACCACGCAGUGUCUGAGGUAGGCACAAAGUGCUCAGAGAGACAGCACAUGAUCUGGAUAAUAAAAACAUACCAGCACCCUCUACUCGGCACUGCCCACCUCUCCGAGGGGAUGAUUUCUCUUCUCGGCACAUUUCGAGAGGGCCAGGGGGCCACUGGAGGAGGUCCAAGGGAGAGCCGCCAGGUGGAAGGGCUGCCUUCGCACACUGCCUCCCCUCAGCUGCCUCUUCCCUUCUGUAAAGAGGAGGGAGAGUGGCAAAGGAUGUUGGAAGAUGGGAGGGGGGCAUUUUUGUUUUAAUUGAAAGUAGCUGCUCUUGAAAGUACGCGAGUAUUGCUGGUUUGAGGAACCACGGCAGAGCCCAUCACCACGAACAGCCUCCAGUCGUAUGAACUCCCUACACUGAGACUAUCAACUGCUCCACAGAGCCGAGCAGCAAGGUACCAAUUCCGUGGACCGCCUUGAAGACCUCUGUAAUCUGGCUUCCGUCUUAUCUCUCUUGCUAGGUGUGGCCAAGUGACCAAAUUCAAGUGAAUAGGAUGCCGGUGCAAAUGUCCGGAGGCAGCUUCUGGGAACCUAAAGAGACAGUGGAUGCACGCCUCAUCCUGCCGACUGGGACACGAAUGUCACGACCGAGGUGCCAUCCUGGACUAUGACGACAAGGGCCACACCACAGGGAUGACGAAGCAGAAGCGAGAAGGAACUGGGCCCUGAGGACUUGGUGGAAUGGAGCCACCAUAACAGCUCUGGAUUGCCUACCUCCAGAUUCUUAACUGAAAGGGAAAUUAUUUUCUAUUUCAGCCACUAAAUUCAGCCAUUACUUGGAGACUCUGUUGUUUGCAAGUUAAGACCAUUCCCAGGUCACACCCUCUGUAUCACCCUGUCCCCAGAUCCUGCCCUGGGGCCUGCUGUGAGCCAGACACUGCGCUAAGGGUCUGCGUAGAUCACCUCAUUUAAUCCUCACAAAGACCCCGUGAGAUGGCUACCAUUCGGAGCUCCAUUUUACAGAUGCAGAAACAAACCAAGAGAGAUGAACUUACUUGCUCACAAGAGGUAAAGCCAAGUUUCUGCGCCCAGGCCGUGGGUCCCCAGACGCUAUACUCUUAGUCUCUGCGUUCUCUGACCUGCCUCAGCUGAGCCACUUUCCCUCUGAGCUGCCUCAGCUGAGCCACUUUCCCUCUUCCCUGCCUUCACUCAUGUUAUUCCCUUGCCACCUGAAAUGACUUUCUGCCUUCCUGAUGUCCUUUUCUGUUUCGAUGUCACCUUCCACAUGAAGGCUCUGAUGCAGAGUGGAAAUAAACGCCUCCCCGAAUGAGCCCAUUGUACCUUGACCAUGCCUCUGUGACAUCACUUUGCACAUCCUGCCUUGCAAUCUCAUUAGCUGUGUUACGUGCCGGUUUUCCUUAAUAUAUUUUAAGUUCCUUGAGGACAAGAAACAUAUUUUAUUUGUCCUUGCAUUUCCUAAAGUACCUAACAGUCAAAUUCAAUAAAUGUGAUUUGAAUUGCUAAAAAAAAAGGUUCUCAUCGAAAGAUAUGAGUUUUUGACUAUCUUAUAAAUGAAAGACAAGUGGUGAGUUAGAGUUCUAAACAACUGAAACUCUGUAACAGCACCAUCCAAUGAACUUUCCAUGGCCACGGAAACAUUCUACGUCUGUGCGAACACAGUAGCCACUAGCCACAUGUAGCUACAGAGCGCUUGAAUAUUUAAUUUUAAUUAAUUUAAAUUUAAGCAGCCGCAUACGGAUAACGGCUACCAUGCUGGAUGCUGCAGCUCUAAGACUCCAUGUUGAAGAGAACAGCUCCAGCGUGCUUUAUGCGGAACAGGUUUUCAGGAAGCCUUGCUGCAGCACUUCCAGUUGAGUCGAAGUGAUUAUCAACAUCAGUAGACAUAAUCUACACAGAUGAAAAGAAACAGACUGAGAAAGGGAGAAACUUUAAGAAACUCAGGGAUAACAUAGAAAAAGAUGAAGUUGAAGCCACAAGAACCAAAACAUGACCAGAGGGCAGCAUGUGCAGCAGAAGAAAGCCCUCGAUAAACCCUGUCCUUGCUCAGGCAGUCUGGAAGAGGGGCGUCCAGACAGGCAAUUAUGUGAUGUAUAAACCCAGUUUAAUAAAGGCUGGGCUGGCAUCCAUUUACAAAAACCUCCAGAGGACACUGAGGUUUCUCAUGCUGUCUUUAAAGAAACUGUAAAAGGUUGGGAUGGGUCUCACUAGGCUGGAAAGAAUAAGUCCAGAUCACUCUAUUUAACAACCAUUCAUCAUAAAUUCCAUUUUUUAUUCGGUGGGGAAAUGACAGAAGCUCACUCACUCCUGGUUACAGCAGCUCAGGGCAGAAAUCCCUCUAGCUGUGCUCUCAGACCAAACCUUUAAGUUGAGGCCUCUCUGGAAUUCCCACUCUUGCUUUUGCCCCACCGAGGUGGAGCACUAAAGAAUGCCAUUAGGGCCACACUGUUAAGCGAGCUCCUCCCUGCCCAGCCAUUCUGGGGGUGACCUUCCCCAGGUCCUGGAGCAAGGCCAGAAUGUAAGAUGAAAAGCCACAUGUGGAGGAUGACGCAAGGGAAACAACCAUGACUCCCACACUGAGAGCCAGAAAGAAAUUCGAGGUCUUACGCACAUGAUCUCCCGCGCCUGGGUGUUUUACUCAGCAUAAUAACUCCCUCAACAUUUUACAUUUCAGGAUUUCCAGCCACAGAAGAGUGAGCACUCUAGCAACCAAACUUUGGGUGUACCACUCUAUACAACUCAGAGGGGGUCCAUAUGGUGUUGUCCUGGGUUCCCAUAAUAACUUGAAGGUUUCACAAUGUCUGGAGCCCUGGAUGUCCUACAGAUGAAGGGGGAGGACGUCCUCAAAUUCCUUGCAGCAGGAGUCCACUUGGGUGGCACCAACCUUGACUUCCAAAUGCAACAGCACAUCCACAAAAGGAGAAGUGAUGCCAUCUACAUCAUCAGUCUCAAGAGGACCUGCGAGAACCUUCUCCUGGUGGCUUGAGCCAUUGUCACCAUUGAAAACUCAGCUGAUGUCAGCGUCCUAUCCUCCAGGAAUACUGGCCAGAGGGCUGUCCUGAAGCUUACUGCUACCACUGGAGCCACUCCUCUUGCUGGCCACUUCACUCCCAGAACCUUCACUAGUCAGGUCCAGGCAACCUUCCAGGAGCCACACUGGCUGCUGGUUACUGACCCCAGGGCUGGCCAGCAGCCUCUCACAUAGGUGUCCUAUGUUGACCUGCCCACCACCACUCUGUGUGACCCUCCUUCGUGCCAUGUGGACACUGCCACCGCGUGCAACACCAACGCAGCUCACUCAGCAGGUCUAACAUGGUGGGCGGUGGCCCGGGAAGCUCUGCGCAUGUGUGGGAGCAUCCCUUGUGAGCGCCGAGGGCGGUCGCUCAGCGGGUCUAACGUGGUGGGCGCUGGCCCGGGAAGCUCUGCGCAUGCGUGGCACCAUCCCCGGUGAGCACCGAGCGGGGUCAUGCCUGAUCCCUACUUCUACAGAGAUCCUGAGGAGAUGGAAAAGGAAGAGCAGCCUCUGCGGACAAGGCCGUGACCAAGAAGGAUUUCAGGGUGAGGGGCCUGCUCCAGCUCGCGAAUUUACCUUCCUCAACCUGAGGUCACAGACUGGUCUGGAGGCGCAGGUGCCCUCUGCGCCUGUUCAGCUGUUCCCUGCGGAAGACUGGAGCCCCCAGCUGCCACCGGAGACUGGUCUGCAGCCCUACUGUGCGGGCCACGAAUGGGCGGGAACAAUACUGAGGGGUCUUAAGCUGCUCUUCCCCAGGCUCUUGAACAGAAAACGGAAGUAAAGUGGAUGGAAAAGAAACAUAAGUUUCUUAAAAAACAAACCAAAUAACUUUGAGUGUACAGUGUUUAUACUGCUCAACUCGAGGACCACUGAGACCCACAAGCAGUUCUUGCUGUGUGAUGGCAGGACUGAGCGCCGAGAGUGUGGAGAUGAAGACAGUGGCACCUGUGACAAACGUUGGGACAAUCUGCAACAGCAUCUACGAGAACAAACAUUUUUAAACUCACUGCCAUGCUUUACACGUGCUGUUUCAGUGAGGCCUCUAGGCGAUUGGUAUUGUUAUUCCUGUUUUCCAAGUGAAGAGGUGGAAGCUCAAAGAGAUUAAACAACCGGACUGUUAGCACAAGUGGUGAUUGCCACAGCUCGGAUCCGAAUCGAGGCCUGUCUAAACCCAAACCGUGUGCCCAUCUCACCACACUACCCUCUCCUUCAAACACGGCUGAGGGGCCGCCCCGUAGCCAAGUGCUUAAGUUCGCCCGCUCGCUUUGGCGGCCCAGGGUUUCACUGGUUCAGAUCCUGUGUGCGGACAUGGCACCGCCCAUCAGGCCACACUAAGGUGGCGUCCCACAUGCCACAACUAG
rnacentral:lncRNA from 1 species